UUCUUUAAGAGGGGUUUAAAGUACAACCUGCCCAGUGAAAUUUAAACGGCUGCGGUAAUUUGACCGUGCUAAGGUAGCAAAAUCAUUUGUUUUUUAAUUGAGAACUGGCAUGAAAGGUUUAACAAAUAUUGUUAAUCUAUAAAGCUUAGAUAUAAUUUAUAUUUUAUGUAAAAAUACUUAAAUAACUAAAAGGGACGAUAAGACCCUAAAAGCUUCAUUUUUAAAUUGAAUUGAAGGCCUUGUUAUUAUUUUUCAAUAAAGUACAUUUUUGGCUGGGGUAGUAGUUUUUUUAACAAAUAUUAUUAAAAACAGGUUGGCUUAAAGUUCCUUUACAUAAGGAUAGUUGGUAGUAGUUACUUUAGGGAUAACAGCAUAAUAGUAGUGGUAAGGCCUUAUUUAUAUUAUUGUUUGUGACCUCGAUGUUGAAUUAAUUUUCUUUGUAAAGCAGAAAUUUCAUUUGAAAGUUUGUUCAACUUUUAAUUUUUUACA
rnacentral:rRNA from 1 species